rnacentral:lncRNA from 1 species
UCAACUUCGUUCGAACUUCAGCGAGGCUGUGUCGAUGUUCGGUGAUGUCCUGUCGACGUCGCCCGUUCUUAGGAUCUAGAAGCAAAGUACCAAGUCACGACGCGGGAUGCACAGUGUCCUUAUAUAAACCGCACAUAACGAUACCUUAGAAUCAUAAUUAGCAAUAUUCACACGACAGACGCAAUCGCAAAGCAACGCACAAGGAUACUGUGUUAUUGAAUUUAGCGACGACGACGACAAAAACGAUCUCCAAGACUCAAGCACACAGGACCCCCGGUGUCAGGGCCAAUUCCUAAAAAAGGACAUUACAUAUUUGGGGAAGUGGUGCGGCUGCGAUCCAGACAAACGUCAGAAUAAGUGUGCAGGAUCCACCACCGAGCAAAAGAUGUAUCUACAAAAGGUGGUGCCGAUGCCGAGGAACAGAAAAAUGCUGUGGUUGUGGCGGUAAAUGCGAAAAUAUGGUGAAAUUAAAUUUUUAAGUCAAAUCCCAGUUUCAAUUUGUUAAGGUUCCGAAGAUAUUGAGCUAUAACGAUAUAGAGAUCAGCGGCUAUAACGGACUCGAAUAAGAGCUGAAGUUCACGCGUCGAAAGAUAAACACGCAUUGAACUAAUCGUAUAAGAAAUCUCUACAUUGUACCAUGUGUUCAGAAUAAAUACUCCAUUAAUUGAUCAA